GUCGUAACAAGGUUUCCGUAGGUGAACCUGCGGAAGGAUCAUUAACACUAAUCCAAUUCAACUCAACCAGGCCCUCAGUUGCAGCAGUGGUGCGUUCGCGUACAGCUGCUGCAGCAACUUUCAAAACUAAUCCAAACAAAGGAGCCUAACUAAGCUCAACCACUAAAACCAAAUUCUCAACGGUGGAUGUCUUGGUUCCCACAACGAUGAAGAACGCAGCGAAGUGCGAUAAGCAGUGCGAAUUGCAGAACCGUGAGUCAUCAGAUUUUUGAACGCAACUGGCGCCGUGUGGGGUCACCCACCGGCACGCCUGGUCCAGUGUCUUGUUCUCUCCUCACCCAAAUCUUAAUGCGAGAGAUGCCCUUCUCUUGCUAAGCAUGAAAGCACUCUGCGCUCUGCGAGCGGCCUUCGGGUCGCACUCAAUGCAGCAGUCACAUUGCUAACAGUGUGAACUCAUUGAGAGUGGACGCAGUGCAGCAACAGCUGCCAGUGCUUAGUCACAUCAACUUUGGAAGCGCAUCUGGGCUCAGGUGGGACCACCCGCUGAACUUAAGCAUAUCACUAAGCGGAGGAAAAGAAACUAACUAGGAUGGCCUCAGUAACGGCGAGUGAAGUGGCCAAAGCCCAAGAUGGUAAUCUCCGUGCUGCGCACGGCGAGUUGUAAUCUAGAGAGGCCAUGCUCAACGGGCGGUGGCGCAGAAGUGCCCUGGAACGGGCCGCCAGAGAGGGUGACAGCCCCGUACGUGGUGCCGCAGCCCAACGAGCAGGUCUUCGAAGAGUCGGGUUGUUUUGUAUUGCAGCCCCAAGUGGGAGAUAAACUUCUUCUAAGGCUAAAUAUAUGUGGGAAACCGAUAGCGAACAAGUACUGUGAAGGAAAGAUGAAAAGCACUUUGGAAAGAGAGUCAAAAGACCUGAAACCGUUGAGGAGGAAGCGGUAGAGAUGAAUUCUACGACGACGCGCGGGGCAACUUGUGCGGCGUUGUGAGGCCGGAUGGGGUGGCGUGGCUGCAGAGGCCUGUCUAGCUUGGCCUGAGCAGCUAGGCAGUGCUGGUGGCCGCGCGGCCUGAGGGUGCUUUGUGCGAUCCGGCCAAAAUGGUCUUUACCGACCCGUCUUGAAACACGGACCAAGGAGUCUAACGUACGCGCGAGUGUGCCGGUGGAGAAACCGUCACGCGCAAUGAAGGUGAGUGAUGCCAAGCGCAAGCAGCAGCAUCGACCGACCAUGAGCCUCUGGUGAAAGGUUUGAGUACGAGCGCGUCCGCUAGGACCCGAAAGAUGGUGAACUAUGCGUGA
rnacentral:rRNA from 1 species